GGUGGCAGUGACAGUGGUUCCAACCGGUUUUGGGUUAGAUUCAUCAAGAGUGUCGAUUCAGGUCCUCACGGUCCAACUUGGUUUCGGGUCAGAUCUCGUGUCUGGUUUGGGUUCAGUUCAAAAUUGGUUUAACUUGGUUCAGCAUAACAACUUCGGGUCAGUUUCGCAUUCGGGUCAAAUGUUGUUAAAGGCAGUCGACUCCGGUCAACAUCAUGUUCAGUUCGUUUCAGCCAGAUUCUCGUGUUUGCUUUGCACGGAUUCGGGUUCGGUUCAAGAGACGUGUCGAGUUACGGCUUGAUGUUCGGGCUUCAGUUCGGUCAGACGCGGUCAAAGCCAGUCAACUGGUCAAAGCCGGUCAACUGGUCAAACCUGGUCAACAGACGGGUCAUCGGGUUAAGCUUGAGACUCGAAUAAAAGUGGAGAAAAUGGUGACUUCGGUGUUCCAUCAUCCUAACCUCACACUCGUCGACACUUGGAUAAUCGGA